GUUAGCAGUUGCCCUGACAACUGAAAGUAAGUAAACAAUUUCAGAAUUAACACAUGAAAAUGGCAAAAGAAGCUUCAUACAUCACUUAUCCAUCAAAACCACUUGCCACACAUUGAAACUACUUCAUUAAUCAAUCAAGCUUUCGAAACAUAUCAAUCCAAAGUAAUGCAACCCAUGGAAAUGGAGCAGCAGCUACAAGAAUGUUCAUCAUGUCUUGGCAAAACCUUAUCGUUGGAGAUGGGGUAUCAAGCGGGAAUGCCCAACCAUUUCAUGGAGUGAACAAAUGCAGCCACAUCUUGAUUCUUGAGGAUACAGAAACUUGUAAAAAAAAAAAAAAGGAUUCUUUUGUUGCAAUCUAUAAGCAUGGAACUUUUAAUGUCAUUUACAGGAUCCAGUUUUUAAAGAAAUGACUCCAACAUGGGCCAACAUAGCAAAUAAGCUACAUACAGAUAAUUCACUUUCCUUCCUUGAGUACAAGAGUCCCUAAAUUGAAGUGCUUACACCCUAUCUUCAACGCUAGUGCCAUAAUAGAGUUGGUUGAAGCACAUUAACAAUUAACUGAACUGGCCCAAAAGGACCCCAACGUUACAUAUGUUUUGUAGCAUGAAGGUAAAAAGGUGAGACAAAUAGUUCAAUUACCAAUUCCAGACAUAAGAUGGACCUAAAAGCUAUAAGAUUCUCUUCGAUAAGCCUACCAAAAUGGGCUCUUAAGCAUAAUGUGAUGUUGGAGAAGAGUUUAUUCAUCUCAUUCUAAAGGCCCCAAAAAACCAUUUAUUUUCAGAUAGCUGCUUCUAUAUAACAUUCCUAAAGCUACGUUAACUGAUCAUCGAGAGUUUUUUUUCUCACUCAUGCAUCUUACGGCACAAAAUUCAUUUCAUUUCACUUUCCAACAGCACUUCAAUAUGACAUAAUAGAUUCCCAUCAACCAACUCAAUCUAAUACAAAUCUGAAAGUAAAUUCAGAUUGCAGUUUGCAUGUCAAAGGUUAAUAACCCAAAAAAAAAAACAAAAUUUCUAUAUAAGCAUCAAUUCUUUUUAAAUAUAUCAAUUAUUUACAGCUAGCUUAACACUGGUGUCAAUUACCACAAACUUAAUGGAGAUGUGUAGGGCUAUGCACGGUUCCCGGGGGUUCUGAACUGAAAAACCGUACCGAACUGGAAAUAUGCAGGGCUAUAUAAUUAAGAAAUAUGCAAAAGAUAAUACAAAAUUUUUAUUAAGAAAUACAUUUUUGUUAUUAAUAUUAUUAAUUUAAUAUUAGUAUUAUUAUUUUUAUUGAUGUUUUAAUAAUAAUUUUUCUUUCAACUUACUUUCUUUUUCAUGUGAUAAAAUUAAUUGAGUGAAAAUGAAGGUGCCAUCAUAUUGGAGGAAGGCUUAGAACUUGGAAGCUAAUUGGAGUUUUUUAGAGUGGAAAAUAUGGAAAUAAAGCUUGACUUUAUGUUAUGUUUGUUGAUUUUGUGUUAUUUUAUAUUUGGGAAGCAAAUAUUAUAUGACGUAUUAUGGAUAUUCGAUGCUAACUUAUAUUUUUUAUGUGAAGAUUGUUAGUUUGAUUUUAGCAUUUUUCUUGAAUAAGUCUUUAUUUUUUUGUUAUUUUAUUUUGAUAUUAUUAUUGUUAUUUUAGUGUUAGUACAUUAUUAUUAUUGUUCUUUUGAUGUUAGAAAUUUAUAAUUAUUUUUAUUCUUUUAAAAGGAAC
rnacentral:misc_RNA from 1 species